rnacentral:tRNA from 1 species
GGGCUGGGGCUCAGAGGUAGAGCGCCUGCCUACCAUGCGGGAGGCACUGGGCUCGAUCCUCAGCACCACA